CGCCGGAGUAUUGAUCUCGUUCUCGUUACUCAACGGGAAGUUGCAGUAAUCUCAGUCAAGAAUGUCUCAGGAUCUGUACAUGUUGAUAAGGAUGGGAGUUGGGUUUGCACUGG